rnacentral:rRNA from 1 species
UACGGAGGGUGCAAGCGUUGUUCGGAAUCAUUGGGCGUAAAGGGCGCGUAGGCGGUCCUGUAAGUCGGAUGUGAAAGCCCCGGGCUCAACCCGGGAAGUGCAUCCGAAACUGCAGGACUUGAGUACGGGAGAGGGAAGUGGAAUUCCUGGUGUAGCGGUGAAAUGCGUAGAUAUCUGGAGGAACACCGGUGGCGAAGGCGGCAUCCUGGACCGGCAUUGACGCUGAGGAGCGUAAGCCAGGGGAGCAAAC